GGGGGGCUGCUCCUAGUACGAGAGGACCGGAGUGGACGCAUCACUGGUGUUCGGGUUGUCAUGCCAAUGGCACUGCCCGGUAGCUAAAUGCGGAAGAGAUAAGUGCUGAAAGCAUCUAAGCACGAAACUUGCCCCGAGAUGAGUUCUCCCUGAGACUUAGAGUCUCCUGAAGGAACGUUGAAGACGACGACGUUGAUAGGCCGGGUGUGUAAGCGCAGCGAUGCGUUGAGCUAACCGGUACUAAUGAACCGUGAGGCUUAACCUUACAACGCCGAAG
rnacentral:rRNA from 3 species